GACGAACGCUGGCGGCGUGCUUAACACAUGCAAGUCGAACGGAAAGGCCUCUUUCGGGGGGUACUCGAGUGGCGAACGGGUGAGUAACACGUGAGUAACCUGCCCUUGACUUUGGGAUAACUUCAGGAAACUGGGGCUAAUACCGGAUAGGAGCUCCUGCUGCAUGGUGGGGGUUGGAAAGUUUCGGCGGUUGGGGAUGGACUCGCGGCUUAUCAGCUUGUUGGUGGGGUAGUGGCUUACCAAGGCUUUGACGGGUAGCCGGCCUGAGAGGGUGACCGGCCACAUUGGGACUGAGAUACGGCCCAGACUCCUACGGGAGGCAGCAGUGGGGAAUAUUGCACAAUGGGUGGAAGCCCGAUGCAGCAACGCCGUGUGCGGGAUGACGGCCUUCGGGUUGUAAACCGCUUUCGCUCAUGACGAAGCUUUGUGUGACGGUAGUGGGUAAAGAAGCACCGGCUAACUACGU
rnacentral:rRNA from 1 species